rnacentral:tRNA from 4 species
CGGGAUGUGGCGCAGCCCGGUUAGCGCACUGGUCUGGGGGACCAGGGGUCGCAGGUUCAAAUCCUGUCAUCCCGA